ACAAAAUUGCUGUUAUCUGCCUGACGGCUUUAUGUCAGCCACAGCAACGGAAAACUGAUUUACUAGGCUUAGGCUGCUUAUUUCCGCUACAUUGUCCAGAGUGAACUAACUCUGAUGCUUUGGUUACGUAACUGCCUCUAGUUGUGUGUGCGCGCUGCAGCCAUACGCACAUUUCUCUUUUUUUCAACGCAGUGAAUACCAUCAAAAGCAACGUGAACGUAGUUGUAACAUAAGUGUACAGUACAGCAGGCUCGCCCCGCGGAUCACACUUCAUCUCUCGGGGAGUACUGCUGGGAAAAGCCCAGACUCAUAACAUCUGAGUCACUGAGGAGACAGUCAUCUGAAAUGAAAGACAGAAAAGGAUAACCUCAUGGACUAUGCAGACAUGAGAUGACCAAUGAACAUGUGAAGAUGUCCCAGAAGCCAAAUAAAAAAUGGUACCUCAGGUGUCUCCCAGUCCUCGUCCUCCUCCUCCUCUCCUCUGUCAUAUACUAUUUGUUCUAUGACAGACUUCUGAGUUACACAGGCACCCUUGAGUCUCUGAGUUCUAUCCAGUCACCUUGUAGUGACUUGCUAACCCAGAAGAAUUGGGAGCGCCUUAACAUUAACAUUAGCAGACAGACGAAGCUCUUUUUGAAAAUGGAGGAUUUCUUCUGGCGGGAGCCUACAUCAAAAUUUGCAUUACCUUAUGGCACUAAAGGGAGCGAGCUGAUGCUACUGAAAAUUCUUUCUAAAACUACAAAUUAUCAAAUGCCAGCCAACAUUGAAGGGCUCCAAUGCAAAACUUGUGCAGUGAUAGGUAAUGGCUUUACCAUUAAAAACAGUUCCUUGGGAAGCACGAUCAACAAUUACGACGUGGUCAUUCGGAUGAAUGGUGCCCCAGUGAGAGGUUAUGAGGAUGACGUGGGUAACAAGACCACCAUGACGUUGUUCUACCCCGAGUCGGCCUCCCACGACACUGUACAGCAAAUGGAGCCCAGCGCACUUGUGGUCCUGGUGCCUUUCAAACAGCAAGAUCUACGAUGGCUCAAAGAGAUCCUCUAUAAUGAGAAGAGGAACAUGAAAGGCUUUUGGAAGCCCCCUCCCCAAAUCUGGUCUGCUGAUGACAGUAAUAUCAGAGUGCUGGACCCCCACUUUCUGCAGCAGACUGCAGACAGGCUUCUCCACAUCCCUCUGGACUUCACUAAACAGGAGUCAGUGCAUCCUACCAUGGGUAUCCUCGCUGUGUUUGUUGCUCUCAACUACUGUGACGUGGUCCAUGUUGCUGGUUUUGGGUACCCUCAGUCAAACAACCCAAAUGACCCUAUCCAUUACUAUGAAGAUGUGCACACUAUGAAAUCUAUGAAGGAGGAGAGGGUGAUGGGUGUCAACACCAGGAUGGCGAGUUCAGGGUAGUUGCUGGGCCGAGUUACGGAGCAUGAAGGUCACUCACUGGCUGGUUGUGCAGAGUUGGUUGACGCUGAAGAGAAGGUGACGAUGAGCAGAAGGGAAUUGGAGAAGAGAGCACCGACCUGGCUGAGUCCUGCCAUCCAGGGUGAGGACAACCCAGUUGACUGUCCCCUCAGCCGACCAGCCAUUCGCCCACACUGCCAUCUGUACUUGAAUGAGGUACAUCUCUAGCGGCUGUUCCUCGCUGUAGCAUGGCAGCUUCACCAGUCCUCACUAGUCUCCAUGCUGUGGUGCGGUUGAAGCAGGUCCGACCAGCCAUUCACCCACACUACCAUCUGUACUUGAAUGAGGUACAUCUCUAGCGGCUCUUCCUCGCUGUAGCAUGGCAGCUUCACCAGUCCUCACUAGUCUCCAUGCUGUGGUCCGGUUGAAGCAGGUGGCAGGCAAUCUCAAUGUGGCUACCAGGAUGUCUGCUCUGGUUUCUAGAGUCACUCCUUCCAGCUGGGUGAUAAGUUUGUUGAUCUCCCAGAGCGGUCAUUGUCUCUGAAUCAUUGUCCCCCCCAUGUUUUAAAGAUUGUUAUAGCCACAUGCCCUAUAACAAGGUCUUACAUUCCCAUCUUUAAAUCUCUGAAUGUCUCUGAAAAAAUGACAAAAGUGUUUUUUAUUUAAUUUCUCCGGCUACCUUUUGUGGUGAAACCAAAUGGUUAAAAUGUACACGGGGCAGUCAGAAUGCAUUUGACUUUCUGAAUAUUGAUGCUCCUUUUCUUU